CCUCGAUAUCUAAAUCCGGCCCUGUCGCUAAGCCACGUGUGUAUAUAGCUAGCCGACCUCUCACAGCUGCCACCUGUCAGGAUUACUCAACAAAACAAUUUCUCUGUCAACUCAGUUUCUCUCUAGCUUUCCUUCAAACCAAACAAAGAAAAACGAACAGUGUAACCUUAGUUAUCUCAAAAUGGCCUCAACAAACAAAAUUGUUUUGAUCUCUGUUAUCUCAUUUUGGCUCAUUUUUUCGUUUCAGCUAGCCGGCUGUUCUCGACCCGGUACGUAUUUUCUUCUUUUGUUUUUUGGUUAAUUCUUUUUCUUUCAAUUUAUUUUUAUUUUUUUCUUACUGGAUUCAUUUACUUACGCUCUCUAUUCAGAUUUCGGUGUCGGAGGGGACAUAAGCAUUGGUGCACAAGCACAGGUAACCCAACGCAACGGCACCGUUUGCUUUUAUUGUUUUUGUUUGUAACGUAUUGCGAACGAGUAACGAAUCCCGAAUGAAUCGGCAGCGGCGCAUGUUGUUAAGCUAAAUUAUUAUAAUCUCUCUUCUUCAUUUUUAUUUUCACAUUAUUUAUCCAUUUCUUCAUUCUUUUCUUCUUCAUUUAUGAACUUUUACCCAUCACUAUUUUAUCCUAAACUCUUAAACUUCUUAUUUUUUUUAUUUUUAGUGGCUGUUUUC
rnacentral:lncRNA from 1 species